CAGUGCCACGGUAAUACGUAGGUGGCAAGCGUUGUCCGGAAUUAUUGGGCGUAAAGCGCGCGCAGGCGGAUCAGUCAGUCUGUCUUAAAAGUUCGGGGCUUAACCCCGUGAUGGGAUGGAAACUGCUGAUCUAGAGUAUCGGAGAGGAAAGUGGAAUUCCUAGUGUAGCGGUGAAAUGCGUAGAUAUUAGGAAGAACACCAGUGGCGAAGGCGACUUUCUGGACGAAAACUGACGCUGAGGCGCGAAAGCCAGGGGAGCGAACGGGAUUAGAUACCCCCGUAGUCCCUGUCUCUUAUACAC
rnacentral:rRNA from 1 species